GCGCUCGUAGCUCAGUUGGAUAGAGUACCUGGCUACGAACCAGGCGGUCAGAGGUUCGAAUCCUCUCGAGCGCGCCA
rnacentral:tRNA from 3 species